GCCAUCAGCACCCCUUUCCACGAAGAUGUCUGGUGUUCACUCUCAGAUGAAGAGAGGGAGUACUCAAACUCUAGGAUUCCUCAUAGCCCAAUAGACAGCAGCUUAACAGAAUUUCAACAGAAUGUUAAUUACACACAUAUAAUGAAUACUAUGCAUCAGGUAUUGUUCAAAUAACUUUACAAAUAUUAACUCAUUUAGCCUUAUACUACCCUAAUGAGGCAGGUAAAAUUAUUACCCCCAUUUUAUAGAGGAGGAAAUUGGGGCACAGAGAGGUUAAGUAACUGGCCCAGGGUCACACAGCCAGGAAGCCCAAAAGCCAGGAGUUGGCUCACAUUUUUAAUCUCUGCACUCUGCUGCCUAUGGAUUUGUUGGUUUCCUUCUUUUUCCAAUCAUUAAAUUAUCCUAACAGUUUUAUUGAGAUAUAAUUUAUAUACCGUAAACAUCACCCAUUUUAAGUGUACAAUUGAACAAUUUUAGUAAACUUAUCAAAUUGUGCAACCAUCACAACAAGCCAACUUUAGAGCAUUUCUAUCACCCUGGGAAAGAUUCUUUGUGCCCUUUUGCAGUCACUGUUAGUUCCAACCUCUGCUUGAAGCAACCAUUAAUCUUUCUGUCUCUGUAGAUUUGUCCUGGAAAUUUCCUAUACAUAGAAUCAUACAAUACGUGGUCUUUUGAGUCUAGCUUCUGUCACUUAACAUGAUGUAUUUGAGGUAGAUCCAUAUUGCAGCAUGUAUCACUCCAUUCGUUUUUGUGAUCUAAUAAUAUUCCAUUAUAUGGAUUUACUGCAUUUAGUUUAUCCAUUCACCAGCCGAGAGGCUUUUCCAUUGUUUCCACUUUUUGGCUGUGAUAAAUAAAGCUGCUAUGAACAUCUGUGUACAAGCCUUUGACUGGACAUAUAUUUCUCUUUCUCUUUAGGUAUAUGCCUAGGAGUGGAAUUGCUGAUUUGUGUGGUACAUUUAUGUUUACUUGUUGUAAAAACUGCUAAAUCUAUUUCCCAAAGUGCUGCACCAUUUUCCAUUCCACAGCCAUGGAUUUUAUAGACUGUGAGGUCCCGAUGCAAAUCCUAGGGCCACCCAUACAAGCAGACAGAGCCCAAUUUAGGGUCCUGGAACCAACCUAGGUGUAAAAUGAAGCCAUCUGGGGAUGGGGGGGACUGAGUCAAGCUCAGCCUCUCUGCAGCUUCUGAUGUCUGAGAAACAGGUGGGCAAGAAAUCAGCUGUUCUACUUUCUAAUCCAGAAAAACAUUGCCCUCUGGGACCUAGAGCACUUGUUAGGGGAAAAUCAGCAAAGUGGCGAUAACACCAAAAGGAAAAACAGAAACACACUGUGGAGACGUCAAGGGCGAUCUCAGCAAAGGAAGAAAACCAGCUUGAGAAGGCAGCAGUAAAGGCAGUUGGCCUGCAGCUCCCAUGCUCCGGAAGCCUUUAGUUCCCACUGCCAGCAUCCUCAGAGCCCUUUCCGACUACCUCGGAGGCCAGCGAGAGGAUAAUGGGGUGAUGGCAAGGGGGAGCCCCAGGACUCAGCUGCCUAUGGCUCUGAACAGACAGUGCUGGUCCAGCCAGGGAAGGCCUUCUCCAGAGGGGCACUGCUGGAGGAAGGAAGGAAGGAACGCCGCUGCCCGCCUGCCAGCCAGGAUAGCUCUGAGUGUCACCAGCUCUCCAGUUUGUGCCACAUGUUAUCUAAGGAGUCAUUUCACUAUUUAAUAAAGAGAUCCAGCUUUUGAUAGAGAGAAUUUGACAUGUCUGGCAGCAGCUGCAAAGGACAGAACUUUAUAAUGAUGGCCCGUGGUGGGUGUCUACACACACAACUGCCUGCCCAGCUUCCUCCUGACACGUCCCCUCACAUGGGAGUGAAACCGACAUGGCACUGCUGAAACACACAGAGUACACAGGGAUGGCACAGGGGGCAUGCCUUGCAGAAUGGAAUGGGCCUCUGCUUGCUGCUGAAUGCCACGUGCUCAGGACAGGUGGUAACUGUACUGGGUCGAAUUGCGUCCCUUCAAAUUCAUGUCCACAAGGACGCUGUGAAGGUGCUCCUAUUUGGAAAUAGGGCCUUUGCAGGUAUAAUUAAAGGGAAAUGAGGUCAUAUCAGAUUACAGUGGGCCGUAAUCCAAUGACUGGUAUUCUUUCCUAUAAGAGGGAAAUUUGGGCACAGACACAGAGAAGACACCGUGUGAAGACACAGACACAGAGGAGAGAAACUCAUAUGAAGACAAAGGCAGAGGCUGGGGUGAUACAGCUAUAAACCAAGGGACCCCAAGUGUUGCCAGGAAACCCCCAGAAGCCAGGACAAAACAAAGUAGGAUCCUUCCCUAGAGAUUUCAGAGGGACCAUGGCCCUACUAACACCUUGAUUUUAGACUCGUGACCCCCAGAACUGUGAGAUAAUACAUUCCUGUGGUUUAAAGCCACCCAGUUUAUGGUGCUUUGCCAAGGCAGCUCCAGGAAAUGGAACAAAAGCUGAGCCCAGGCUGCAGGUAACAAACUGUCCAUGCUGGCAGGUGGCAGAGGGGGAAGGACAGGCAGAGAGGGCCGCAUGGAGGAGGCACCUCCUUUAGUUGUGCCUGAGGUUCAGGCAGAAGGCCCAGAGAACAGAAGUGAAACUAGAGGCUCAGCAUGGCUCCUGGUAGAAUUGGCUUUAAUGGCUCAAGUUUUUUCAUCUUUGCUUCCUCCAACUUGCCUGGAACAGGUACUGCACACGGUAGGUGCCCAUUACGUGCUUAGUGUUUAUGGAUGAGCUCUGCAUGUGGGAAAACAAACGACAUGAUUGGCCAGUUGGCCUGGAGAGAGCUAGCCCAGCUUUAUUUAAAAAGCCAUUCAGAGGCGGCUGCUAUGUGCUGAGUUGGCAGAGAAGCAUCAGGCCUCUGAAAGUCAGCAAUAAAGAGUCGGCUUACCGAGGCCACAUGCUGAGCCCAUAAUCCCACUUCAGAAGCUGUAGCUUUAGCCUGAGCAUGACCCGACACAUGAAAUUGCUUGGCUCUUCCCAGUAGCCAGAGCCACGGAGCACAGGAGUGAGAGGCCAGCCACAGAGGAGGGUGGAUAUCUGUGUACCGCGUGGGAUUCUGUGUGUCGCAGCGCCAGGCCUGGCAUAGAAGUCAGUGGUCAGCACUGGGGCUGGGGACUUGACUGAGCUGUUGACAGGCCUGUUGAUCACUUGCCCAGUGGCCUGCCACCUCCUGUUAGGAGCUAGCUGGUACCGGGCAGGGAAGUCCCUCUGUGAGGAUCUAGCAUGACCAGUCCACUGAAAUUCCUUCAGGCACGUAGAGGACUUUAUAGUCUACCUGGCUUCCUCCCAGGACCCAGGGUGGGAUUGGCUCAGCUAGGCAGCUGGUGAGCUAGAGAAAUGGGAAUGACCCUCCACAUCAGCCUGACACCGGGUAUUAAAUCACUGCACCAAGUAUGUCAACACAACGCCCAGGUGGCCGCUGGACAAUAAGGCCACAGGGCCCCAGAGAGUGGCUGGACUUUGCUGUCUCGUCUGUACCUUGUGUGAGAGCUUGAGACUCAGAGGAGCCCGUGGGGCACAUGGAGGUGAACUUAGUCCCAGAUACAUUGUAUGGACGUGGUCAUGGGACACCAGUACUCAACAGGUAGGUGCUCUCCAGGGGGGCCCAUGACACAGGCCUGGCCAGGGAAGGCCCUAGGGACUUUCCAGAACUGGCCUGAGUUCCCGGCUUCCUAAGAGGAACAAUGCCGGGAGGAAGGGAGCAGUGGGACCCCAGCCAUAGACAGUACAUCCUGUCCAUGGGCUCACAACAGGCUUCGAAAUAAACAAGUGUUGUUGUCCCCAGUUAAACUUCUGUUUCCCUUCCACAGGGAACUCUCAGCUGCAGGCUCCUGGCCUGAGCAGACCUUCUCAGAAUGGCCAAAGUGCCUGUCCUCAGGAGCCAGGACUCCAGCUCAAUCUUAGCUACAAGACUCCAACCAAAAUCUUGGGGGGGAUAGAGGCCACAUUCUGUCCCUGCAGGAGGCCUCUCAGGCUCCCUGAGAACCUGUUUCUAGUUCUCUAGUGGAUUUCAGUUGACAGAACUCUCUACUUCAGCAUCCCUGGGUCCCAGGGCUGAAGCUGCAUCUAAGAACCUGAGCCCUGAAGGCCAGGGCGGGUUUGCUGACAGAGGCGCAGGGCCAUCUGAUGUCAGACCUGAAAGGGCCCCAGGGCCAGUCCAAGCCUAGACCAUCUCCACUGUGGGAGAAUAGGGGGUAGGUCUGGAGACAGAAAGGGGUCCUCUUUCUUUCUACAUGGGUCUUGGCUGUGCAGUUACUGGCCCGAUGACCACACUGGGCCUGGGACUCUAUGCCUCCUCUGCCUUGGUUGGCAUAGUGAGGAGUGACCAGAAUCCUCCCCUUCCCCUACCCUAAGCAGCAGCCUGGGUGACUGGGGCAGGGCAGCUUCCCUGGCUGAGUCCAUUGUUUUAAAGGACAAUCCUCUCCCCCUCUCCCCUCCCUGGUGGUCUGCCAUCAGCCUAGGCACAGAAAAGAACAUCACUAACACAGGCUGGAAUGGGUCACAGGCACAGGCUUUAUCAGGCGACAAGGAUCAUUGAUUGGCCAUGAGUCGCAGUCCUGUGGGUGAAGAACAAGCCACAGAUACUGGAGCAUCAAUAUCUGGGGGUCUUUGUGAUGGUGUCCAGAGAGUCCAGACCACUGAGGAGGUGGCGUCCACAGUGGAUGAAUACACAACGGGCAGGCCAGGUUCUGCCAGUGACCCCAAGCAGAGCACCAGCCCCUGUGGCCACCUACCCCGCUGUGCCCUCUGCUCCUAUGUCACUUGACCCAAAGCAGGUGGGGAGCAGGAGGCAGGGAGCCAGCAUCAGGGUGCAGAAAGGGCAGGGAGGGGACAAAGCCCAGAGGAGAGCUGGAGCCACCUCUCGGAGGAAGACCUGGCCCCAUCCCCUCCCCACUCCUACUGAGACCUUCCGCUGCAGUCAGCAAGGGAUGCAGGGCCCGGGGCUGAGUGCUGGGAAGGAGGGGCGGGUGUGAAGGGGGAAGGCAAAUGGGUGGAGCCGGUGCUGGAGCUGUCCCAGAGCUGGCUCAGAGCCCUGGGGAGGGAGCUGACCCUCUGAGCCUGGGUUAAGACGGAGGAGGAGGGAGUCAGCUCUCGACCCCAAAACCACCUGUUUCCUCUCACUCUAGCACUGGUGGAGGGGAAGCUGCUCAGGACAGGGCGCCACAGCUGGAGAGGGACGUGAUCAGAUGCAGGACAGAGCAGACAGGUCCUGGCACGGGCCAGGAGCUGAGACACUCAACACUGAUGGCUGCAAACCACCCGCACCAUCAGCCGGGGGCUCCCUCAGGGCUGGCUUUGGUGUCUAUCAGAAAAGGGUCUGAGGUCCUAGUCCCACCCGCUCAAUGCUUCUGCCAGGCAGGACAGGGCCAAGGAGCAAUAGUGGUUGCAUUUCCUUUAAAACUACUGUUUCAUUAAAAAACAAAACAAAACAAAACAAAAAACUAGCUCUGAACAUGAAGAAUUAUAUCCAAGAAAGACACCUUGACAUUUUUUGCUUUAUUAAACAUCAUUCACUGAGAAUUUCCAAAGCACUGUGUGGUGCCUAGACCUGUGUACCAGCGCUCUGGGGGUCGG
rnacentral:lncRNA from 1 species